rnacentral:rRNA from 1 species
GCAGUCGAGCGAGAAGACGUAGCAAUACGUUUGUAAAGCGGCGAACGGGUGAGGAAUACAUGGGUAACCUACCCUAGAGUGGGGAAUAACUAGCCGAAAGGUUAGCUAAUACCGCGUACGCUCCUUGGACUUCGGUUCAGGGAGGAAAGCGCUACCGAGGGUAGCGCGCUCUUGGUUGGGCUCACGUCCUAUCAGCUUGUUGGUGAGGUAACGGCUCACCAAGGCUUCGACGGGUAGCUGGUCUGAGAGGACGAUCAGCCACACUGGCACUGCGACACGGGCCAGACUCCUACGGGAGGCAGCAGUAAGGAAUAUUGCGCAAUGGGCGAAAGCCUGACGCAGCGACGCCGCGUGGGGGAUGAAGGUCUUCGGAUUGUAAACCCCUUUCGGGAGGGAAGAUGGAAUGGGGUAACCCAUUCGGACGGUACCUCCAGAAGCAGCCACGGCUAACUUCGUGCCAGCAGCCGCGGUAAUACGAAGGUGGCAAGCGUUAUUCGGAUUUACUGGGCGUACAGGGAGCGUAGGCGGUUCGGUAAGCCCUCUGUGAAAUCUUCAGGCUUAACCUGGAAAAGUCGGAGGGGACUGCUGGGCUAGAGGACGGGAGAGGAGCGCGGAAUUCCCGGUGUAGCGGUGAAAUGCGUAGAGAUCGGGAGGAAGGCCGGUGGCGAAGGCGGCGCUCUGGAACGUUUCUGACGCUGAGGCUCGAAAGCGUGGGGAGCAAAACAGGAUUAGAUACCCUGGUAGUCCACGCCUUAAACUAUGAAUACUAAGUGUCGGCGGGUUACCGCCGGUGCCGCAGCUAACGCAUUAAGUAUUCCGCCUGGGAAGUACGGGCCGCAAGGUUGAAACUCAAAGGAAUUGACGGGGGCCCGCACAAGCGGUGGAAGCAUGUGGGUUUAUUUCGACGC